ACACUGGAACUGAGACACGGUCCAGACUCCUACGGGAGGCAGCAGUAGGGAAUCUUCCGCAAUGGGCGAAAGCCUGACGGAGCAACGCCGCGUGAGUGAUGAAGGUCUUCGGAUCGUAAAACUCUGUUAUUAGGGAAGAAGAUAUGUGUAAGUAACUGUGCACAUCUUGACGGUACCUAAUCAGAAAGCCACGGCUAACUACGUGCCAGCAGCCGCGGUAAUACGUAGGUGGCAAGCGUUAUCCGGAAUUAUUGGGCGUAAAGCGCGCGUAGGCGGUUUUU
rnacentral:rRNA from 1 species